AGUGAACGCUGGCGGUAGGCCUAACACAUGCAAGUCGAACGGCAGCACAGUAAGCGCUCGCUCUUACGGGUGGCGAGUGGCGGACGGGUGAGGAAUACAUCGGAAUCUACUUUUUCGUGGGGGAUAACGUAGGGAAACUUACGCUACUACCGCAUACGACCUACGGGUGAAAGCAGGGGAUCUUCGGACCUUGCGCGUUUGAAUGAGCUGAUGUCGGAUUAGCUAGUUGGCGGGGUAAAGGCCCACCAAGGCGACGAUCCGUAGCUGGUCUGAGAGGAUGAUCAGCCACACUGGAACUGAGACACGGUCCAGACUCCUACGGGAGGCAGCAGUGGGGAAUAUUGGACAAUGGGCGCAAGCCUGAUCCAGCCAUACCGCGUGGGUGAAGAAGGCCUUCGGGUUGUAAAGCCCUUUUGUUGGGAAAGAAUAGCAGCAGGUGAAUACCCCGCUGUUCUGACGGUACCCAAAGAGUAAGCACCGGCUAACUUCGUG
rnacentral:rRNA from 1 species